AUGAUAAAGAAUAUAUUACACAUGAUUAAAUUGAACUAUACAGAGAAGAUUAUCAUGGCCCCUGCGCAAGGAUGACACGCAACUGUGUGGAGCAUUCCUUAUUUCU
ensembl:snRNA U6 U6 spliceosomal RNA